rnacentral:lncRNA from 1 species
AAGACAAACAAAAGUAAUACUACUGUUUAGCUAGAUGCAACUUUUGCCCGGCAAGCACAUACAUACACUACACACGACUAGGUAAUGACACACAUGCUAACAACAGGCAUCUAUACGUACCGAUCGACACGACGACACACACAUAAUAGACAUGCACGACGACAUGGUACAUGCAUGCACAGACGACGACGACAAGAACAUUUUAAUUAGUACGAACACACACACUCUAGAUAGGUACGGUGACAAGAUGAGAGAGAGAAAGAGACACGUACGUACGGGCCCCUGCCUGCACCCUGCUGCAGAUGCACACACAGACACGUACAGCUAGCAAUGCCGGGGGCCUUCCUGCUUGGCUUGGCUUGGCUAGCACACUGCUAG